UACGUAGGGGGCAAGCGUUGUCCGGAUUUAUUGGGCGUAAAGAGCGUGUAGGCGGCCAGGUAGGUCCGUUGUGAAAACUGGAGGCUUAACCUCCAGCUGUCGGUGGAAACCAUCUGGCUAGAGUCCGGAAGAGGAGAGUGGAAUUCCUGGUGUAGCGGUGAAAUGCGCAGAUAUCAGGAAGAACACCCGUGGCGAAGGCGGCUCUCUGGGACGGUACUGACGCUGAGACGCGAAAGCGUGGGGAGCGAACAGG
rnacentral:rRNA from 1 species